rnacentral:rRNA from 1 species
AUACGGAGGAUCCGAGCGUUAUCCGGAUUUAUUGGGUUUAAAGGGUGCGCAGGCGGCCAUUUAAGUCAGCGGUUAAAUCGUGGGGCUCCACCCCAUUCUGCCGUUGAUACUGGGUGGCUUGAUUGCGGUCGAGGUUGGCGGAAUUCGUUGUGUAGCGGUGAAAUGCAUAGAUAUGACGAAGAACACCGAUUGCGUAGGCAGCUGACCAGACCGCAAAUGACGCUCAUGCACGAAAGUGCGGGGAUCGAACAGGAUUAGAUACCCUGGUAGUCCGCACAGUAAACGAUGAAUACUUGUUUUCGGCGAUAUAAUGUCGGAGGCAAAGCGAAAGCGAUAAGUAUUCCACCUGGGGAGUACGCCGGCAACGGUGAAACUUAAAGGAAUUGACGGGG